rnacentral:tRNA from 1 species
CAAAGAAUAGUUUAGUUAAAAUAAUAAUUUUGGAGAUUAUAGAUAAAGAAAUUCUUUUUCUUUGA